rnacentral:rRNA from 1 species
ACAACGGAGAGUUUGAUCCUGGCUCAGGACUAACGCUGGCGGCGUGCCUAACACAUGCAAGUCAAGGAGAACGUUUCCUUCGGGGAACUAUUAAACUGGCGGACGGGUGAGUAAUGCAUAGGUAACCUGCCCUGGAGACUGGGAUAACUUCGCGAAAGCGAUGCUAAUACCGGAUAAUGCAGCGGACCCUAAGGGGUACAGUUGUUAAAGCGGGCUUCGGCUCGUACUUCAGGAUGGGCCUAUGUCCGAUUAGCUUGUUGGUGAGGUAAAAGCUCACCAAGGCAACGAUCAAUAGCUGUUCUUAGAGGAAGACCAGCCACAUUGGGACUGAGACACGGCCCAAACUCCUACGGGAGGCAGCAGUGGGGAAUCUUGCACAAUGGGGGAAACCCUGAUGCAGCGAUGCCGCGUGAGUGAAGAAGGCCCUUGGGUUGUAAAGCUCUUUCGUCGGGGAAGAAAAUGACUGUACCCGAAUAAGAAGGUCCGGCUAACUUCGUGCCAGCAGCCGCGGUAAUACGAAGGGACCU